UACGAAGGGGGCUAGCGUUGUUCGGAAUCACUGGGCGUAAAGCGCACGCAGGCGGAUCUUUAAGUCAGGGGUGAAAUCCCGAGGCUCAACCUCGGAACUGCCUUUGAUACUGGGGAUCUCGAGUCCGGGAGAGGUGAGUGGAACUGCGAGUGUAGAGGUGAAAUUCGUAGAUAUUCGCAAGAACACCAGUGGCGAAGGCGGCUCACUGGCCCGGAACUGACGCUGAGGUGCGAAAGCGUGGGGAGCAAACAGGG
rnacentral:rRNA from 1 species